GGCGAACGGGUGAGGAACACGUGAGAAACCUGCCUCGGAUUUUGGGAUAACAAAUGGAAACGUUUGCUAAUACCAAAUAACGUCGGAGAGUCACAUGACUUUCUGACGAAAGGAAUUCCGAUUCGAGAGGGUCUCGCGGCCUAUCAGCUUGUUGGCGGGGUAAUGGCCCACCAAGGCAACGACGGGUAGCUGGUCUGAGAGGAUGGUCAGCCACACUGGGACUGAGACACGGCCCAGACUCCUACGGGAGGCAGCAGUGGGGAAUCUUGCGCAAUGGGCGAAAGCCUGACGCAGCAACGCCGCGUGCGGGAAGAAGGCUUUCGGGCUGUAAACCGCUUUCAGCAGGAACGAAAAUGACGGUACCUGCAGAAGAAGGAGCGGCCAACUAUGUGCCAGCAGCCGCGGUGAUACAUAGGCUUCAAGCGUUGUCCGGAUUUAUUGGGCGUAAAGAGUUCGUAGGCGGUCGAGUAAGUCGGGUGUGAAAAUUCUGGGCUCAACCCAGAGACGCCACCCGAUACUGCUUAACUUGAGUUCGAUAGGGGAGUGGGGAAUUCCUAGUGUAGCGGUGAAAUGCGC
rnacentral:rRNA from 1 species